rnacentral:rRNA from 1 species
GAUGAACGCUAGCGGCGUGCCUAAUACAUGCAAGUCGAGCGAACAGACGAGGAGCUUGCUCCUCUGACGUUAGCGGCGGACGGGUGAGUAACACGUGGAUAACCUACCUAUAAGACUGGGAUAACUUCGGGAAACCGGAGCUAAUACCGGAUAAUAUAUUGAACCGCAUGGUUCAAUAGUGAAAGGCGGUUUUGCUGUCACUUAUAGAUGGAUCCGCGCCGCAUUAGCUAGUUGGUAAGGUAACGGCUUACCAAGGCAACGAUGCGUAGCCGACCUGAGAGGGUGGUCGGCCACCCUGGAACUGAGACACGGUCCAGACUCCUACGGGAGGCAGCAGUAGGGAAUCUUCCGCAAUGGGCGAAAGCUUGACGGAGCAACGCCGCGUGAGUGAUGACGGUCUUCGGAUCGUAAAACUCUGUUAUUAGGGAAGAACAAAUGUGUAAGUAACUAUGCACGUCUUGACGGUACCUAAUCAGAAAGCCACGGCUAACUACGUG